AGUGAACGCUGGCGGCGUGCCUAAUACAUGCAAGUCGAACGGAGUGGCCCACGGGCGAGUAAUUUAUAGCUAAUCUACCCUCCACUAGAGGACAACAGUUGGAAACGACUGCUAAUACUCUAUAGUGUAGGACGAGGCUAUAUUGUAUCAGCUAGUGGGUGAGGUAAUGGCUCACCAAGGGUAUGACGCAUAACUGGUCUGAGAGGAUGAUCAGUCACACUGGAACUGAGACACGGUCGGGAAUCCUACGGGAGGGAGCAGGAGGGAAUAUUGCUCCAUGGGGGAAACCCUGAAGGAGCUACGCGUCGUGGAGGAUGACAAUGUUCGGGGAGUAAACUCCUUUUAUUAGGGAGACGGUACCUAACGAAUAAGCACCGGCUAACUCCGUGCCAGCAGCCGCGGUAAUUC
rnacentral:rRNA from 1 species